AGACGGACCCGGCGGGAGAGGAGGAAGCCGGGUUGUGGGCGCGGAGCUGAGGCGGAGGCGGGGCCGGGGCGGGAAGGGGCGGCCCCAGCUGGGUCGGGCGAGGCUGGCUGCGGGAAACCGAAACAGAACUGACUGAAGCCGUGUUCUUCCCGCCGAGACCAUGCCGCCCCAUCGACCCUGCUGCGGCCAGAGCCACCCAGGGCGGGCCCACUCACCGCAGGCUCGGGCCACUUGGUUCCAAACCUCCACUCCCAUCCAGGGGCCCGGCACACCCACCACACUCCCACUCUCAGAGGUCUUUGCCGCCUGCUUCAGGAGAAAAGAGAAACUUCCACUUUCCACCGGCAAAACUGCACACCUGCUCCCUCCAUCACCGAGCCCCCCCCCCCACCUUCUGUUUUUCCAGUAUCGCAGAAUCCGAUCCGUUGCUCCCUCUGGACUGGAAUCCGUAUCCUCGGCAUUUCAUCAUUCCAAGAUUCUCUACUCCACGUACCCUUGCUGCCACCCUCUUCUACUUUCCAUCGCUGAAGUUGGUGAAAGAGGCGCCUGCCCCCAGUUUUGUGGUCUCUCAACUCCACGUGUUCGUUUUCACACUCGGUGAAAUUGCCUUUUUAAUUGUCGCAAGUAGCAUCCACAUCACUAAAGUCAAAGGACACUCUCCUUUCUCGUGUUAACUGAUCUGAGCAAAAUUCCUUCUUUCUCCUUAAAACACGUCUUCCUGUGGCGGGGGUGCUCCACUUUCCUGUCUGUCCCCAGUCUUGGCGUGCUUGUCUACUCUGGGUGACCACCAAAUAACAGAGUUUUCAAGGUCUCAGACCUUUCCUCUUACUCCACAAUUUUUCCCUGAAUGAUUUAACCUGCUGUCAACAUUUAAAUCAAUAUAUCCCAAAUUUGCAACUCUAAUCUUUGCUCCUCUGAGCUCCAAAUCCGUUUAUCUAGCUUCCUAUUCAGCUACUCCUGGUAACAAGCACCUCAAAUGGAACCCAUCCAAAACUGAAUGCGUCCUUUCCCUGCUUGCUUUCAACUCCCUGUCUCCCUGUGAUAGUGAAGACACCACUAUCCAGUGUUUCCCAAACUCUGCCUUCACCUCGGCAUCUAACAAAUCGCCAAGAUUCUACUUCCUAAAUAACUCUGAAGUCUGUCCACUUCCUACCAUUUCCAGUAUUACGUAUCAUAAUGUGCUUACUGCACGUGCGUUUUCCCGGCCCACACUCAGUGAUGUCUCGUUGGUAGACUGUAAUGGGCCAUGGUCGAAGUAUUUACACCAUGGAAAUUAGCCAACAUUAUGAAUCAUGAAUCAGGGAUCGAUUUGUUUUGCUGAUUGUCUCUAGACUUCAGAAAGUGAUGGGGAAGAUGUUAAUAAUGUAGAUUAAACUUAAAAAUGUGUUUAGUGCUGAAACAAGAUUGCAGUUUAAUGAGUUUAUACAAGGGUAAGAAGUAGUUUAACAGAUCACAUAUCAGAUUUAAGGACAAUAAAUUUGUUGGCAAAAAGUGGAUCGGUAUGUAAUUUCACUAGUCACAUCAUGGUUGAGUUACAAGCAUUGGAUGGAUUCAGAUACAAGCCUUUGGCAAAAAAGAAGCAAAGCUUUCUGUGAGAAUCAGUCAAGUAGAUAGAACUGACAAUAAAGAGUGUCUGCCUUUUACUUGUGUAUUGUUUAUUACACAUCCUUUAUAUCAGAAACAUUUAUAACACACAUAUGGUUGUAUAUAUAGGUGGAAAUAAAAAGCAGAUGAGAUUUUAGUCAGUUUUUUUUUUUAUACUUUUAAGUUCUAGGGUACAUGUGCAGAACGUGCAGGUUUGUUACAUAGGUAUGUAUGUGCCAUGUUGGUUUGCUGCACCCAUCAAGUUGUCAUUUACAUUAGGUAUUUCUCCUAAUGCUAUCCCUCCCCCAGCACCCCACCCCCUGACAGGCCCCGGUGUGGGUGCGUGAGGUUCCCCACCCUGUGUCCAUGUGUUCUCAUUGUUCAAGUCCCACCUAUGAGUGAGAACAUGUGGUGUUUGGUUUUC
rnacentral:lncRNA from 10 species